CCGUUAUUUGAGUCACGACACCUCGGAAUGCGAAGCUAGUUCCCCGCUCUGUCGCUUGUAAUUAAACAGUUCUAAGGUCACUGGAACAGUGUUGCAAGCCUAACAAGCUCUUAUAACAGGUCGUUCGCGCCAGCGUGCCGGAGGCAUCUAGCUAACAUUACCCCAGAAAUGGG
rnacentral:ncRNA from 1 species